rnacentral:rRNA from 1 species
GACGAACCGUGCGAACGUUGUUCGGAAUCACUGGGCUUAAAGGGCGCGUAGGCGGGCCUCCAAGUCCGGGGUGAAAGCUUUCGGCUUAACCGGAAAAGUGCCUUGGAUACUGGAGGUCUGGAGGGAGGUAGGGGCAGUCGGAACUUCCGGUGGAGCGGUGAAAUGCGUUGAUAUCGGAAGGAACGCCGGUGGCGAAAGCGGACUGCUGGACCUUUUCUGACGCUGAGGCGCGAAAGCCAGGGGAGCGAACGGG